UAUAUUUUGGUGUAUGGUGCACGGGAAUUUUUGAUGUUUUUGGUGUUAGUUUGAUUCUGACAGGUAUAU
rnacentral:tRNA from 1 species